AAAAGUUCACUGUUUACAUAAAAGCAAUCUCGAAUCGGUCCCACUUUUUUGCUUGAAGUUACUAUCCCCUGGUACAACGCAAGUACAGCUGUAUGUCUGUCAUAAGUAUAACAUAGAACGAUCAACUUCGUUGAUCGAAAAUACGGAAUGAUUUACAAAACAAAUCGGCAUCACUGUUUUUUUUUCUCCGCCAAACUGUCAUCUCAUAACAAAACAAUCGAAUCAUACAACUGCUAUAAACACAAGGCUAUUUUGGUUCCUGUGAGCGAGAUUAUUUCCGCCAACACCACAGUGUGGAUUGCCACUGUGAUAGCAGCCAACAGCAUCAACAAUUUCCGCAGCAGUAUCAUUCAAGCCCUGGUGACCGUGCCGAAGAACAGCAACAACAGGACCUGACCAUCGAUGGUGUUUCGAAAAACUUUAUGAGGAUGAGAGGAUGAGAUCCAAGACUGUUAAUCGUUAUCAGCAAUUAUACCCUGGAGACAUCGACACCAAUACUAAAACGAAGAAAAAACGCGACGAGUAUCCUCCAGUGCAGGAUUCUAAUGCUGGUGACCCCCAAGCCAUUGAAGAAUGGGAUCGCCGGGAGGAACGGGAAUAUGAAAAGCUAUUGGAGUCUUGCCCUCGCUCAGAUUUUGAGAUUUGCCAUAAGCAAACCAUCUCCACCUAAAAUAUAUAUACAUAUUUGCAAAUGAGUUGCAAAACUAAAUAGCUGAGCAGAAUGGCUUAUUUUUAUCUGUAAUAAAAUGAUGAAAAAUAAUUA